AACGAACGCUGGCGGCAGGCUUAACACAUGCAAGUCGAACGCCCCGCAAGGGGAGUGGCAGACGGGUGAGUAACGCGUGGGAAUCUACCCAAUUCUUCGGAACAACUGAGGGAAACUUCAGCUAAUACCGGAUGUGCCCUUCGGGGGAAAGAUUUAUCGGAAUUGGAUGAGCCCGCGUUGGAUUAGCUAGUUGGUGGGGUAAAGGCCUACCAAGGCGACGAUCCAUAGCUGGUCUGAGAGGAUGAUCAGCCACACUGGGACUGAGACACGGCCCAGACUCCUACGGGAGGCAGCAGUGGGGAAUAUUGGACAAUGGGCGCAAGCCUGAUCCAGCCAUGCCGCGUGAGUGAUGAAGGUCUUAGGAUUGUAAAGCACUUUCACCGGAGAAGAUAAUGACGGUAUCCGGAGAAGAAGCCCCGGCUAACUUCGUGC
rnacentral:rRNA from 1 species